AUCCUGGCUCAGAUUGAACGCUGGCGGCAGGCCUAACACAUGCAAGUCGAGCGGUAGCACAGAGAGCUUGCUCUCGGGUGACGAGCGGCGGACGGGUGAGUAAUGUCUGGGAAACUGCCUGAUGGAGGGGGAUAACUACUGGAAACGGUAGCUAAUACCGCAUAACGUCGCAAGACCAAAGUGGGGGACCUUCGGGCCUCAUGCCAUCAGAUGUGCCCAGAUGGGAUUAGCUAGUAGGUGGGGUAACGGCUCACCUAGGCGACGAUCCCUAGCUGGUCUGAGAGGAUGACCAGCCACACUGGAACUGAGACACGGUCCAGACUCCUACGGGAGGCAGCAGUGGGGAAUAUUGCACAAUGGGCGCAAGCCUGAUGCAGCCAUGCCGCGUGUGUGAAGAAGGCCUUCGGGUUGUAAAGCACUUUCAGCGGGGAGGAAGGCGAUGAGGUUAAUAACCUCGUCGAUUGACGUUACCCGCAGAAGAAGCACCGGCUAACUCCGUGCCAGCAGCCGCGGUAAUACGGAGGGUGCAAGCGUUAAUCGGAAUUACUGGGCGUAAAGCGCACGCAGGCGGUCUGUCAAGUCGGAUGUGAAAUCCCCGGGCUCAACCUGGGAACUGCAUUCGAAACUGGCAGGCUAGAGUCUUGUAGAGGGGGGUAGAAUUCCAGGUGUAGCGGUGAAAUGCGUAGAGAUCUGGAGGAAUACCGGUGGCGAAGGCGGCCCCCUGGACAAAGACUGACGCUCAGGUGCGAAAGCGUGGGGAGCAAACAGGAUUAGAUACCCUGGUAGUCCACGCCGUAAACGAUGUCGAUUUGGAGGUUGUGCCCUUGAGGCGUGGCUUCCGGAGCUAACGCGUUAAAUCGACCGCCUGGGGAGUACGGCCGCAAGGUUAAAACUCAAAUGAAUUGACGGGGGCCCGCACAAGCGGUGGAGCAUGUGGUUUAAUUCGAUGCAACGCGAAGAACCUUACCUGGUCUUGACAUCCACAGAACUUUCCAGAGAUGCAUUGGUGCCUUCGGGAACUGUGAGACAGGUGCUGCAUGGCUGUCGUCAGCUCGUGUUGUGAAAUGUUGGGUUAAGUCCCGCAACGAGCGCAACCCUUAUCCUUUGUUGCCAGCGGUUAGGCCGGGAACUCAAAGGAGACUGCCAGUGAUAAACUGGAGGAAGGUGGGGAUGACGUCAAGUCAUCAUGG
rnacentral:rRNA from 1 species